GGAGCUGGGGGGGGGAGUUGAACUGAGUGUCUCACUUUGUAUGUAUGUAGCUAGAGGUAUCUUUCUGCCCUGCCAUUCCUAAAACUUUUCAUCCAGUAUUAUUUUCCUAUGGCUAAAUGUUGUUUCUGUGUCCUGCAUCAGACCAAUGGAAUGAAGGCACAAGUUAUAAAAUGUCAAUGCAUAGCUAGCUAUAAUGCAGAGUCAAGAAAUGAGAAAGGAAAUAGAACAGUAGUUUUGCAGAGGAUGCCAUCUAAUAUCCCCUUCCCCAAUUUCCUUAUUAAAUCAAGAAGUUGGCAGAGAGGUUUAUCAAGACACCCUGGAUCUUUAAAGCUGAGAAUCUGUAUCUGCAGAGUUAGGAAAGUGGCAAAUAGACAAAUGAUGACGCAGGGCUCUUUGCUUGGCAUGUUGUUAGGUUUAGAAAGCAUUGGUUGGGGGGGUGGGGGUGGAGAGGGGACAGGUACAUUGUGAAGCCCCAGACCAGCUGACAGAGGGUGAGUUAAGAAGGGAAGAUUGCAUUUAAGAAUUAAAUGUCAUCAUUUUGGCGUCGGAAAGUUGUUUACCUUUCUCUCUGCGUGUCUCCAUGUUGGCAGCCUUCCAGCUCACAUGUGAUAGUCUUCCCUGUACUGCUGCAUCAUUAACUGAGUGCCUGAGCUUGCACAUGAUUGGCUGGGGAGGGCUUUCAUUCUAAACACUAAUUUCUAUUGGAGGGAGAAGCAGUGGCAGGUGAAAUGCUGUCUGAGAUUGGUUAGAGCCAGAAUAUCAAAUCUAAAUGUUCCAUUCCAAUUGCUUUAAAAGGGGUUCUGAACAGUUUGUGACUUAAAAUGUUAGCUAUUUGCUUUUAUUCCCCACCCACUCCUCCUUUGGAUUCCAAGCACUUUGGAAUGUGUCUGUAUUCUCAGAGCUAGUGUUUUAAAGAGAAAAGCAAAAAGCAGGAGCUUGUCUAUUGUAGGUUACUUUAGUUUAUUACUGGUGCAAGUGACGCAGAAGGAAAAACAAAUAUUCUGUGACUCGAGUUGCAUCAGUGACAGGCAUAUUUCCGGCUGCUGUGAGACAAGCCACGAUGACGUGACAUUAUUAUAGCCUUCAGGAGAGAUAACAAAAAGAGACUUUGGUGGGUGUCUAUCUUUGCCUUUGUGUGAAAAAACUCUUAACUAAACCAAGCAGUUUUCUUCUGUUAUAAACUCUCUUGAGGAUAGAGAGAGAUUGCUUGUUAGAGGAGAAUCUGUAAAACGCUGGACAGAGCUUAGAACAAAAAUGUGUCUUAGGUUACAACACUGUGAAUCGAAAGUCAGUGCUGGAUGAAUAUAGUGGUAAGAAAUACAAAGUUUACUUUCUGGUUGUUUUAUUUUACUUUUAAAUGAGAUCGUUGUGAGUUCUAAGAUGGUAGGAUAGUUGGGCAGUUGUGAACUAUAAACUAGUUCAGGUAGGGGUGCUGGAAAUCUUUCAUUUAUGAUACAUACGUAUCUAAAUAGAUGUGUUUCUUUAACAUUUCUGAUCAACUUUGUUUUCCCUUCUGACCUAUCCCAAAGCCAAUUCCAGAUAUAAAAUUAUUGUGGAGAAUGAAGUCUGUUUUACCUUCUUUUUCUUUUGGAAUUUCAAUGAAAUUCUAAGCAAUAAGCAUUAUCACAGAGCAUGAGGGAUUAUUUCCUGUGGUACAUUCUCAUGAAAUGUUCCAGUAAACUGAAGGAUUUAACAAUAAUAUAAGAAUCUGUGUGGGUGACUCACUGGCAUUGAGAGAGUCAAAUAUAGCCAGUUGUUCAGCAGUAGUUUUUUGGCUUUUGAACCAGAUCAGAUAACACUUUGAUUCGCCAUCUUGAUUCUUCUAAAGUAUUCCUAUCUUCUCAAGUAUUGUUUCAAGAUUUUAUUGCUUGCAGGCUUUAAUAAUCCCAGGAAGAAUGAACGAACAUAGUCUGCUAUUCAGAAGAAAGGAAAAAUAACCAGAAAGCCGUAUCUGGAAAUGGACAUGAUACGUGAAAGGAAAAGACAGAUAGAUGUGAUAGAUACCUACCUCCUCUGAUACUCUCUCAAACAUAACUUCAUUUUUAUUAUAUCUUCUCCGUUGUCAAGUGUUAUGCCUAAUUUGAAAUUCUUCCAUUGGAAGCGUACCACCUUCGUUUCUCCUUCUCCCCACUGAGACUCCUUGCUCUGCAAAGCUGUCUCCUCCAGAGGCAGUCUUGCAUCCUGCGGUGCUAAUUCUGCAGAGGAGGGCAACCAGAGGUCCAUCUGUGAUGGGAUACACUCAGGCUGAGAUUUUGCUUCUUCUGUCACGAGCAAAAAAAAAACAAUAUCUUGAAUCAGGUACCCAAACAGGCUAUGGAGUUUGAAGACAAUUUCUGAUAGCUGCCAUCACAUCACUUCUGUAAAAUAAGAUUUGCUAGCCUUUAAUGCCAUCAAAAACAGAUGAGAGAUGGCUAUCACAAUCUAGAGCUCCAUCUUUUCUAUUACUAUGGUCUGCAUCCUCAUACUUGAACUUGCCAGGAGAAGAACAUGCAUCUGAAUGUAUUCUCUUCUAAUUGGAGCCAGGGACUACAAUGGCUUUCUACUACAGUUCUACAUAAGAAAACCAUUGACCUGAAUAUCUUUCUAUUAUCAACUCGUCUUCAUUUUAUUUUACAUUCUCCUUGACCAAAUGCUAAUAUAUCGGAGUAAGUUAAGCAUUUAUGAGGCAUCAUUUCUUUUCUAUAAAAUGUUUUUUAUGCUAAGCACCACAAACUAGGUGUAUAUCUGUUCCAUAUUAUCAAUAUAACAUGUCUAACAAUAUGAUUUUUAAAAUCUACACUAGCUUUAUCAUGCCAUAGAUAUCCAUUCCACCAAAAUCUUAAGUCAUGUUCUUCUAAUUUUAAAAGCCUUGUUUCUCAGCAGUAUCCACUAUUUUAUCCAAACUAAGCAGCAAACUGCAAAAAAUAAUUUCAAAUCACCUAAAUUCUAUUCUCUCCUUUCUUUUGCAUCUUGUAACAUUUUAUAUUUGACUUGUAUUCUUUUCACUCAAAUUUACUUAUCUUUCUGCCAUUGUUUAACUGAAACAUAUGUCCAAAAUCGUAUUAUCUGAAAUCAAAAUAACAUUCUAGAAAAUAUAUUCUCAUCACUAAAAAUUAAAAUUCCAUAAAUGUUAUCAUUUAGAGAACUUUGUUAAAAACUGUAAACAAUAUGGUGAAAUUUAUUUCCAAGUAAAGUGGUAUGUGAUAACACUGGUUUGCAAAUUUAAUCAUGCCAUAUUCUAGAGAAAUGAGUUAGGAAAAAUAAUGGCAGAUCAGGUAGGCAUAGAUGAUUUUGGAAAUAUCAAGAGGUUAAAAAUGGGUUUUAAAGUAAGACACAAUAUUAUGAAGUUUGUGAAAAAAUAUUGUGCUAGAAAAUAAAUUUUCAUAUAUCAUAUACCAUAUCAAACACCUAAUCAAAUUUCAUUACAUUGUACUCAGAUUGCAUGUUGCAUUUAGUACUAUGUUUCCCGAAAUAAGUGCUUGGCCCUAUUUUCGUGGAGAUCUUAUUAUUUUUCAGGUGCAGGAGGUGGUGAGCGU